AUAGUCAUGGAAAGGCUGAUUCAAAAAUUGAGAAAGGAAUUGGUGGUAGUACUACAAAUUCCAUAAAAGAACUUGUUAGCAAUGAAUCCCUAGGUGCUAAUAUUGGCAGAUUUCACCAUCAGAAGACUGUUCUGAUUAUGGAUGAGGUUGAUGGCAUGACUACUCCUAGAUUUCCUAUUCUUUCGGAGUUGGCUCGUGAUGUGUUGGCAAUUCCAAUUUCUAAUGUGGCGUCGGAAUGCACGUUUAGCACUGGUGGUCGUAUUCUUGAUUCAUUUAGGAGUUCAUUGACUCCUAAAUGUGUGCAAGCUCUUAUUUGUGUUGCACUGUAUUUAAGUGUUAAUACUUAAGACUGUUUUUGUUGGA